rnacentral:lncRNA from 1 species
GAGCACUCUCUUACUUGCGAUUAUCACCUCUCCUCCUCCUCCAAUCUCCUCUGACUUGACCGUCGGAGGGCCAUCACCACCCUGGUGGUGGUGCAAGGCUUGUUUGCAGAUUUCUUGGCGGAAGGUGGAGCGCAACCAACACCAACCAAGACAACUCAGACGGAACCCCGUUCACACCGCAGUGCCAAUCGUUCUCGGUUUGGACCACC